ACUAUAGCUCAGUAGGUAGAGCACGUCAUUGGUAAUGACGAGGUCACCGGUUCAAAUCCGGUUAGU
rnacentral:tRNA from 1 species